rnacentral:tRNA from 1 species
GUUAAUGUAGCUUAACUAAAGCAAAGCACUGAAAAUGCUUAGAUGGAUAUUCUAAUCCCAUAAA